rnacentral:misc_RNA from 1 species
GAAUGAAGAACGUAGCGAAAUGCGAUAAGUAGUGUGAAUUGCAGAAUUCAGUGAAUCAUCGAAUCUUUGAACGCACAUUGCGCCCCUUGGUAUCCCGAGGGGCAUGCCUGUUCGAGCGUCAUUUCACCACUCAAGCCUGGCUUGGUGUUGGGCGACGUCCCCUUUGGGGACGCGCCUCGAAACGCUCGGCGGCGUGGCACCGGCUUUAAGCGUAGCAGAAUCUUUCGCUUUGGAAGUCGGGGCCCCGUCUGCCGGAAGACCUACUCGCAAGGUUGACCUCGGAUCAGGCAGGGAUACCCGCUGAACUUAAGCAUAUCAAUAAGCGGAGGA